UACAGAGGGGGCAAGCGUUGUUCGGAAUUACUGGGCGUAAAGGGCGCGUAGGCGGCCUUCUAAGUCGAACGUGAAAUCCCCGGGCUCAACCCGGGAACUGCGUCCGAUACUGGAAGGCUUGAAUUCGGGAGAGGGAUGCGGAAUUCCAGGUGUAGCGGUGAAAUGCGUAGAUAUCUGGAGGAACACCGGUGGCGAAGGCGGCAUCCUGGACCGACACUGACACUGAGGAGCGAAAGCCAGGGGAGCAAACGGG
rnacentral:rRNA from 1 species